ncrna:Pseudomonas putida F1 C4 antisense RNA
UGUCAUGGCGGCUGUGUGUGGGCAGGCUUCGGCCUGGCCGGGUUUCCAAGUUUCCCGGUAUUCCUACCCCGCACACAGCUGCCACCCAA